rnacentral:misc_RNA from 1 species
GUGAGUCAUCGAAUCUUUGAACGCACAUUGCGCUCUCUGGUAUUCCGGGGAGCAUGCUCGUUUCAGAAUCAUUACAUUCUCAACGACCGGCGUAUGUCGGAAGCCGGGGGUCUUCGGAUCUCCGUUCUCGGGCGUAAGUCGGUCAGGUUGUUGGGUCGUUCCUUCUCUCGCCUUUUCGGGCAGAGGGAGAUCACCUCAAAGUGAUUAUUUGCGUUGCUCUAGCCUCGUCGGCCAGAAGUAUAAAACCAAGUGCAACAGAUGUUUAUUCAUUUCGUUCACCACUUCGGACUUCCGGUCAUG